rnacentral:lncRNA from 1 species
UCAGGAUAAGAGUGAGGAAUAAUGUGUACCUUGAGUUGCUGGAUCUGUGAUUUCAAUUGACUACCUUCGUUUGAUGUGACUGAACAAGCGAUAACAGGUCUUGUAACACCACAUGCUCUUCCCAAGGCUUGCUUUGAAGGAACAAACACAUACGGAACAUUCUGCAAAUCAUUCACUAAAUCAGUCAAAAAGAAACAUGAGAGAAUGCCAACGCUGAAACUAGUGGUUAAAAUGAUAUACAAAACUUGACUAAAUCUAAACACAAAACUAAUGAAUCAAACAAUCAAAACUAUUUAAACACUAGUGGUUAAAGACCUCAUUAUACCAAGAACUAAUGACGAAAACAAUAUGGUUUGAAGUUAUCAAAAGAGAAGUCAACUGUGUUAUAUAACUCCCAAAGACAUAAGGAUAUCAUAAGAUAAAUCAAACUCGCAUCUAGUAGUAAUAUUAUUGAACCAGAAGAGAGAAGAAACCAAACCUUAUCCUCAGCAAGUAAGGGUAGAUGAAGAAGAAUCUCUAGAGGCUCUGCAUCUGCAGCCAUAACCACAAACUCAGAGAUUCCACGGUUAAGCGUCUUCGUAGCUGAAAUCAAUAACAAAGUUAAAAAGUCAAUUACAAUCAUCAGGAACUAAUUCUUAACAAAUCCAAAAAAAAAAAACGGGUAAAUUAACAGAGGAGGAUAUAAUUAACAAGAUACCUUCGUUAGCACCCUUCUUGAGCUGCUUGUAGUUAGUAGCUUGUUGAACAAGAUCAAGAAUCGUUAUAGAUAGCUGAGAAUCUGCAAGCGGAUACGCUUUAGGGUUUACUGCCUCUCCAGUCUGCAAGAUAAAACCAAAAAGAACAAUAAAUUAAAACCAAAAUCAAACAAUCAAAGAGAAAGAUUCCUCCACUAAAACUAGCAGGUGAAAUCGAGAAAGAGCGAGAGUUAGAGAGAAGAAAGAAGAGGGUACCAUCUUCGCUGAGUCUAGGGUUUGAGAGAGGAUUAGGGUUUUAGAGAGGGACACGAGUUUCUCGGCUUGAAGAUUCUUAAUGGAAAUGUUGGCUCAAGCUAUGUUACUUAUAUGCGUGUAUUUAUAUAUACAUCAUAUUAAUGGGCCUGGGUAAUAUAUUCUUCGGCCCAUGUAAUUUUCAAUCUCCCUCGCACUCUAAUCGCAGCCGAAAGAACUUAUGUUAGGGGAUUAUUGGAUCAUUGAUUUGGAUUGAUUUAGAAAUCCAAACUAAAGUUAUUGUUAUUUAAUUAUUAAUUUUAAAAUAAUUAUUAAAAUUAUGUGUUGUUGGUUGUAUGAUUUAUAAAUACUAGUUAAAAUCCUAUGUUAUUCGUUUAAUGAUUUGUUUUUGUAUUUUAAAAUUUGCAGUAUGUUUUAAAUUGAUUUGAAAGGAUUUGAAAGUGUAAAAUAGAAGGAUUCAAAACCAAGGAUAAAACAUGUUAUUUCAAAAUUCAUGUAUUUUGAUUUUAAAAUAAUAAAAAUUCACAAAUUCUAUGUGUAUUUACAAAUCAAUAAACUAAUAACACCCCUAAAGUUUUGAGCUUGAUGUUUAAUCCUUUUCCUACUAGUAGGUGCCUCCAAACCAAUGUCUUAUACUUACAACUAGAAGGUGAUAGUUCAGAGCUAGGUCCUUCUAGCGUGGUUUGACGUCUAAUUUUUUUUUUUUUUUCACUGAAAUGAUUAUAUUGAUAACCAAAGUUCGGAAAUAUUGCAAAUCACAAGAUAAAGACGAUAAUGAAAUUACAGAGACACAAUGAUCUUUCCAUAACCUAUAACUAGAUUAGGAAAGGAUUUUACAGAAACAUUGCUUAAACCAAAAACAUUUUCUCUCGAGACUGAUUUAGCUCUCAAAAACCAUAAGGACUUCCCGUAUACCAAACGAUGAUGACAAGCUUCAACAUAAUGGCCACAACAAAAGAAUGGAACUUGGCCUUCUCCGCAUAAAAUGCAUCUUUCUCUAUGAGUGCUUUGUCAAGGGUCUCCCGGAUGAAAAUGUAAGAUAGACGAGAUCCACUUAGAACAUUUUCAACGCCAUAGCAAGCUGGUAAUUUAGACAUAAACAAAGCUCAAUCCCUAACUAACCAAGAGCAAUAGUCGAGGAAGAGAAACUUAGCCCAAACGAGGGAAACGACUGUCCAAAAAAGGAAAACUAUAGAACCUAAUCACCUGAUGUUACCAGAUCUCACACGAGUACAAUAUGAACAGAGCAACUAGGCUACACAAGGGCGAAGAUAGUGGAGGCGAGGGAGAUACCAAGUUAAUAGAGAAUCAUUCCGAUGUUGCAUAGAUUUGUCGAGGUAAAAAGAUAAACGAGCUCUCGAGAAGGAAUGCUAUAACCUCCACGGGAGGCUUUGACUCAAAGAGGUGAACCACUAGUCAGAACAGAAUCUGGUCGUGACUCCACUUAAAGGUUAGGAAGCUGGAACGGCAACCCCAAGCAUACCAACGACCAUCAGAACCAAACCAAAUCUCAUCAGACCUGAGACUCGAAACUUAGUUACCCACCGACACUAAAAACUUCCACGCUUCCUAGACUAGGAAAGACAAAGCUGGAAUUGAAAAGCUAGGUAAGGAAACAACGGAGGUGACCGACGCCGGCUCUCUAUGAGUCACCACGCACCAGUCACAAACUUGACGGCCGCUUGUUUUAACUCAAGGAAACGGAAGAGAAAAUAACUUUUUUUAGGUCUAUUUUCUCUAAGGCUUGAUUUUCACGUCUAAUCUUCUUCUAGUUCUACUUAUUUGUUCGUUCAAUGGCCUGAAAGAUCUGAGCUUUUACUGGCAAAAUAGAUAUCAAAACAAGUUCUCAUAAAUGAUACAAUGAUUCGUUACAAACCAACACCAAAACCAAAAAACCAAGCACAAACUCUUCAGAAACAGAAAUGCAGAAAAGUGAAUAAAAUGUUGAUGUAGAACGUUGAAGUGAAAAAGAUAUCAGAAUUCAUGGACGGUUUUUGAUUUGGUAGUUGCCUAAACAAAACUUCAGUCAAAGCCUUCCUUUUGAAUGGAGACCCAUCAUACCGAGCAAUCAAUUAAGAGAGAUUGCCUCUUAGAUCAGAAGCUUCUCAAUAGCAUCCUGCAGAAAUGACAAAAUGUAAAUGAUUAACCAAUCAUUCAGACAUAUGAGAUUCAAUGGUCAGGACUCAGGAUAAGAGUGAGGAAUAAUGUGUACCUUGAGUUGCUGGAUCUGUGAUUUCAAUUGACUACCUUCGUUUGAUGUGACUGAACAAGCGAUAACAGGUCUUGUAACACCACAGGCUCUUCCCAAGGCUUGCUUUGAAGGAACAAACACAUAAGGGACAUUCUGCAAAUCAGUCAAAAAGAAACAUGAGAGAAUGCCAACGCUGAAACUAGU